GCAAGUCGAGCGUGAAAGUCCCUUCGGGGGCGAGUAAAGCGGCGGACUGGUGCGGAACACGUGAGGACCUGCCCUACAGUGAAGAAUAACACCGAGAAAUCGGUGCUAAUGCUGCAUACGUCCCUUCGGGGAGAAAGGUAGCUUUAUGCUGCCGCUGUUGGAUGGACUUGCGUACUAUUAGCUUGUUGGUGAGGUAAAGGCUCACCAAGGCGACGAUCAGUAGCUGGUCUGAGAGGAUGGAC
rnacentral:rRNA from 1 species